AAAAAAGUAAACUGUGGGUUCCCGUGCCAACGUUUGAUUGUCCGUCUUAUAUGAAAUUUUUUUAUAAUUAUUAUUUUCGUUGUUGUUAGAUGAUAACACAUGAUUAAUACUUUAUGCGCGACUUAUCUUUUAAAUUUUUUUAAAUAAGACAGACGGUCAAACGUUGGACACGGAAAUCAGGGUUUGUCUUUUU
rfam:Oryza glaberrima chromosome 2 Oglab02_0303_8, whole genome shotgun sequence.